rfam:Candidatus Rokubacteria bacterium 13_1_40CM_4_69_5 13_1_40cm_4_scaffold_5130, whole genome shotgun sequence.
UGUGACUAACGCGGGAGCUCGGGGAACCGGGCUGAGAGGGCGGCUGCUGCCGCCGACCGCAUGAACCUGACCUGGUUAAUGCCAGCGAAGGGAGGCCAGAUGUCUCAUAAG